GACGAACGCUGGCGGCGUGCCUAAUACAUGCAAGUCGAACGCUUCUUUCCUCCCGAGUGCUUGCACUCAAUUGGAAAGAGGAGUGGCGGACGGGUGAGUAACACGUGGGUAACCUACCCAUCAGAGGGGGAUAACACUUGGAAACAGGUGCUAAUACCGCAUAACAGUUUUUCCCCCUUGCCUAAGAGUGAAAGGCGCUUUUGGGUGUCGCUGAUGGAUGGGCCCGCGGUGCAUUAGCUAGUUGGUGAGGUAACGGCUCACCAAGGCCACGAUGCAUAGCCGACCUGAGAGGGUGAUCGGCCACACUGGGACUGAGACACGGCCCAGACUCCUACGGGAGGCAGCAGUAGGGAAUCUUCGGCAAUGGACGAAAGUCUGACCGAGCAACGCCGCGUGAGUGAAGAAGGUUUUCGGAUCGUAAAACUCUGUUGUUAGAGAAGAACAAGGACGUUAGUAACUGAACGUCCCCUGACGGUAUCUAACCAGAAAGCCACGGCUAACUACGUG
rnacentral:rRNA from 1 species